ensembl:lncRNA
UUGGUGCGUAAUCUUCAACCACAGGCAUUUUCUCCUGGGAUUCAGAGGGGAAAGCACACUUCCACGAAUGAUAUAUCAUCGAAGAGAUAUGUGAAAAACACCUUGAGGAUUGGUCCUAAACAACGUUUGCCAUGUUUCAGUCGAUAUUAUGGAGUUAAUUUGGAAAAAAGUUAGACGUUUUGAAGACUGAAUUUUCGGGUUUUUUUGGUAGCCAAACGUGACGUACCAAAUGGAGCAAUUUCUCCUAAACAAAUCAUCUUUCAGGAAAAACGGAGCAUUUGCUAUCUAACUGAGAGUCUCCUCAUUGAAAACAUCUGAAGUUCUUCAAAGAGUUCACAAUCAUAAAGUUGUAGAAAUGCGACACACUUUCAUUGUUGCUAUUGCACGGCAACAAUAAUGAACAGAGCACAGUUUCUGAAGCACCUGACAUACCAUCAGCAUCCAGUGGCCCCUCAAGAGCACCCAGAGGCCCUUAAUAAACAGUGGCCAGUGGCCCCUCAAGAGCACCCAGAGGCCCUUAAACAGUGGCCAGUGGCCCCUCAAGAGCACCCAGAGGCCCAUAAACAGUCUCCAGAGGCCCCUCAAAAGCUUCGCCCCUCAAGAUCUUGUCGCCUGGACCUUGGAGGACUUUUGGUGUGGAUGAUGAUCAGGGCCGACCAAAGCAAGGUUGCUGUGGGGUGUUUGUUUUGAUGUACGCUCUGUGCAUUGCAAUGAAAGCACAGUGUGACUUCAAUGAGGUCUGAAGAAGAGAGGUUGGAACAUCGAAAAAGGCGGCAAAAACAAAACACGCAGCAGUGUAUUUCAGGAUGAUGUAGAAGACGCCCCCAAGAUGUCACAGCACGUCACAUCAGCGUCCAGGUCUGCAGGAUCAGGAAGCAGAUGUUCUUCUAAGGGACACCCUAGAGACAGCAAGGUGAUGCGAACGCCCAACAUUUAAAGGCAUCGUUUCCCUCCCUAGUGUAAAUCAUAUGGAUGGGGAAGACCGCAUUACAACCCUUAAAAAACUAUGGUUGUAUGAUGGCCUGGAUGAAGAGGAAAAUAUUCUCCUCAAGUAAUCAUUCAUGUUUUCGUUUCAGUUAGAGAGAUUAUGAGAUGUUCUAUGUGGAGGCAGUUGACAACAAGAAAAUGAAUGUUUGCCUCUUUUGAGGAGCUGGAGUGAAGCCAUUUUUGAGGAGUGGUCAAACCUUGUUUUUGUCUGCUGUGUUAAUUGUUUCAAUUGUUAAUUGUGUUGUUUAGUAAAGAUGACUUAGAAGUCACCCGAGUCUCUGAUCUCUUCACUGGAGCUGGUAUAACUUAAUGUAAAGCACAUUCAGCUUGUCAGUAUGUCUAUAUGGUAUAGUCUGUCUCCAUUCUCAUGAAUUGCACUAUAAAUCAGGAUAGGUAGAAACUGUAUAUAUAUGCUCAAUUAAGUAAUGUAAUUACAAAGUCAUAACAUUUAUCAACACAAUUUUAACAGUACAUUACAUACAUAACAAGUCUGUUGUUCACUGCAACAAUAUCAAUAGCUUGUCUCAAAUAUAGCAUGAAGCAAAAAGUGUUACAACAUGUGCCGGUUCAGCUUUAUAUAAUAUUUCCCACAAUCUUCAAAAAUGAAAUACGUUUGUAUUCAACGUGUGCCUUGCACAAACAUGUGUGUUUGUAUUCAGUGUGUGACUCUCAAACCUCAGAUGGAC